UCCUAUGGAUGAGUAAAGAAAGUGGUUUCUUGAGAUAGAAUCUACUCUUGGUAAAGAUGUGGUGAGUA
rnacentral:pre_miRNA from 1 species